UCCUCUCUCUCUCUGUAGGUAUAUGUUUUAUUACUCCUCUCUGUGGGUAUAUGUUUUAUUACUCCUCUCUGUAGGUAUAUGUUUUAUUACUCCUCUCUCUGUAGGUAUAUGUUUUAUUACUCCUCUCUCUGUAGGUAUAUGUUUUAUUACUCCUCUCUCUGUAGGUAUAUGUUUUAUUACUCCUCUCUGUAGGUAUAUGUUUUAUUACUCCUCUCUGUAGGUAUAUGUUUUAUUACUCCUCUCUCUGUAGGUAUAUGUUUUAUUACUCCUCUCUCUGUAGGUAUAUGUUUUAUUACUCCUCUCUCUGUAGGUAUAUGUUUUAUUACUCCUCUCUGUAGGUAUAUGUUUUAUUACUCCUCUCUGUAGGUAUAUGUUUUAUUACUCCUCUCUGUAGGUAUAUGUUUUAUUACUCCUCUCUCUGUAGGUAUAUGUUUUAUUACUCCUCUCUGUAGGUAUAUGUUUUAUUACUCCUCUCUCUGUAGGUAUAUGUUUUAUUACUCCUCUCUCUGUAGGUAUAUGUUUUAUUACUCCUCUCUGUAGGUAUAUGUUUUAUUACUCCUCUCUGUAGGUAUAUGUUUUAUUACUCCGCUCUCAAUUUUAAACUCAAAAGUAACUUAUUUUUUUACGAUCAAGAUAUUUGAUAUGGCUUUGAGGUUAUGGAGCGUGUGAAAUGCGGAUUGGGCUUCGCGAUUGCAUGGGCCUCAUUGGGCGGUAGGCUACAACAGCAAUGUUUUUUGGGGGCAUCAUUUUAUUUAUUUUUUUCUGUUAGAUUAGAUACAUGGGUGGGUAUUAUGUUCAGAAUUAGAGAUAUAGCUCAUAUGUUUUGAGUUUCCACCUACUCAGGUGGUGAAUUAGCAUCAAAUAAAUAAAUAAAUAAAUAGUCUCAGUAUCUAUUGGGCCAGCCAGGAGGUAAGUCUCAGGAUCUAUUGGGCCAGCCAGGAGGUAAGUCUCAGUAUCUAUUGGGCCAGCCAGGAGGUUAAUACCAGUAUCUAUUGGGCCAGCCAGGAGGUAAGUCUCAGGAUCUAUUGGGCCAGCCAGGAGGUAAGUCUCAGUAUCUAUUGGGCCAGCCAGGAGGUAAGUCUCAGGAUCUAUUGGGCCAGCCAGGAGGUUAGUACCAGUAUCUAUUGGGCCAGCCAGGAGGUUAGUACCAGUAUCUAUUGGGCUAGUCAGGAGUUAAGUCUCAGUAUCUAUUGGGCCAGCCAGGAGGUAAGUCUCAGUAUCUAUUGGGCCAGCCAGGAGGUAAGUCUCAGUAUCUAUUGGGCCAGCCAGGAGGUAAG